AUCAUCUAUGUUCAAGCAAGAAAAAAAACUAUUUAGCGGUUUUGUUCGUGGUAAUUCUUCAGCAUUUUUUGUUUUGUCGGACGUCUUCCCAAGUCAGCCAGCAGCUAACACAAUGGCGGCGUGGACGGAGGAAGUUUCAAGGACCAACAACACAUCUCGGUAUGACAAGCUAAGACUCGACUAUACAAACUGAUGAAACACCUCUGACCUGUGGGACACACUUGUAUGUGAUGCCAUCAACAGCAACUGAUGAAACACCUCUGACCUGUGGGAGGAGGAGACGUCUGGUCCUGCAGCAACACAGCACAGCACCUUAUAUCACGGCUCCUGUACAGAAGAAAACUUAUCUACUGAUUCUUGGCAGAUUAUGUUACCAUUUGAGGUGAACUGAAGCCUUGAUGUAAUAGUGAUUGACGACUACAGUACAGGAGGAGAGAGAGUGUUAUCUGGCAUUGGUAAUAGAAUAGUUAGCACCUGUGUGUUAGUAACUUACAGGGUUCAGUUUAACACAGAUAAGGCUCAUCAUAUAUUUUAAUAAAGUACAGGUAUCCCCCAAGAUACUUACAGUAUGUCCAAUAAAUGAACAAUCAUUAUUACAAAAAUAUCAGUUUGACUUUUAACAAAUUCCCCUCAGUCACAUAGUCAGUAUAGCCCAGUGGUGCAUUGGCACUAUUGCAGAAUGUUGGUUGUGUUUAAUGUAUUAAUUAUUUUACAAGAAUUGUAUUGGUGAAAACCCACCAGUUGACUGAUUUUUCCCUCCCAGAACAUAAUGCAAGAGUUCUACCAUUCAAUAUGUUUUUUAACUUAGAACCCUUAGUGCUAUACAGUAUGUUAGAGGAUACCUGUACAUAUAAAUUAAUGUACAGUACUGUAGGUUCACCUGUUGGGGAAGUGAAGGUAGUGUUAAUCACAAGGUUCAGUAUACAGUAUCUACACUGCCCUUAAUGGACCAUCAUGCUUGUGUGGAUUAACCAAACACUACUUAACAAAGUUCAUUUAAGUUGUAGUGGAAAAAUAAUUAAUUUGCAGAACUUGACAUGAAGUAUUUAUGAAAAAUUGUUCAAUGUGUACAUAAUGUGAGGUGCCUGGUGGAAGAGUGAUGUAUGUGCCAAGACCACAAGCAAGGUUAAAGUUUGUUUACACUGUAUCCCACCACACUUAUAGUUUUAUACUGUAUAUCCUCUGGCAACUGUUGAAACAAACAUCUUGCUUGACCACUAACUCGCUUCCACCGAGUGCCUCAUACAUUUGUGUUUUUC